rnacentral:lncRNA from 1 species
AUGGAACAUAAGGUAAUCAACAAAAGACCAAAUGAAAGGCAGAAACAGGCCUGUCAUCUUUCUGUUCAUGCGGUUGCUGUUACCUCAGAACAAAUGAACAACAACAACAGAACUUUUCGUCUUCUCAGACUACCUUACUUCAUCUUAGCCACCAAGGACAACGGAGGUGCCAGCCUCUAUGACAAGCCCUCCCUGCCCUGCUUCAGGUUGGGCUGUGUGUUCUUCCUCGUUACUCCCACUGCAUCCAGCAUAUUUCCUUACAACGGUAAUAAAAUGGGACUGAUUUGCUUGGCUGGGUUCGCCACUGGUUGUAGCUCUGUAGCUCUUUGAGGUAUGGAAUAUCUUUUCCAUGUUCUUCGCAUUUUAGCACAAUGACAGGCACCCAAAUGGCAGUCAAUAAACGUUUGUAGACUGAACCAUGUUUAAAUGACUUACAGCAGUGUGUAAUGCAGAGUGAAGUGCUGUCUUGAGGCAGGUUCCAUUAAACUCCUGAUUUGAUUUUGCUCUGGAAAUUUCCAGAGUCUAAGUAGUCUGAGAGUCCUAUAUAUAAAAAAUAUACACAUCAACUUUUGCCAUUCAAAGAUGAUUUACAUAAUUAUAAAAACAAUAUAUUAAAGUACUGUUGUUUUACAUUUCAGGAAUAUUUUCCAUUGAUAAAUGAGAGUUUCUGAUUAAUCUGAAUAACUAAAUUUAAGCUUUCAAAGCUGGGAUGUUAAUGGUAGUCUUUAACAAAUUGUACCCACUUUUUAGACUGUUAUAAAUUAUAAAGUGCACUGGUACUAAACUUCCCAACUCAAAUCACAGUGAUGUUUCAUAAAUUUAUUUGAUAACGUUAUUCAUUAAUUUGUGUGAGAAAGACAGUUGUCAUGGUAAUAACUUAAAAUGAAGUGAAACACAAUCCUGGUCACGUUUGCUAAAGCAGGCGAAUCUGCUCUAUUGCAUUGCAUUUUUCUAAUUUAAACAUAACUGAAGCAAAAUACAAAGGGAAUUUAAAAUAAACAUUUAGGGGUGUUUUCACUAUAUAUAUAAAAAAUAAAGUUUCAAAAAUCCCCCAAUUUGGAGAGUCAGUUCUAUUGGCAUACUCGAUAUUCACAUUCCUGAGUUUUCCAUAAAAUGCAGAUUGUAUUCAGAAUGAUUCAGAUCAAUAAUGCAACUGGGCUUUCGUCUGAGUUUCAGAGAGUGAGAUAGUAAAAUGGCUGAGAGGUGUCUGGAGAAGAAGGCAAACAGAUGCGAUUAUUUCUGCGAACAAACGUGUUAUCUUUGACUCCCUACCCAAUCUAUUUGGUUUGUCAUAACUUGCCAUGAUGAUAAUUAGGUGACAGAACAAAUGAAUGUGCUUUCAUGGAAGAAUGGCCGAUGCUAAAAAUAAUAAAAAAGGCAAUACCUGAGCUUGAGUAAUUUUAUUAUUGUGCAUUCAGAGAGUUUUGAAAUCUAUGGAAUUCCUGCUGGGAAACAAAUUUUCCUCACUGAAUGGAUCAUUAAAAAGUCCAUUUACUAUAACAAAAUGCAUGUUCUGAAUGUGUAUACAUUUGAAUUUGUAGAUUUUUUCCCCCUCAAGUAGAGAUGAUUGAAUUUCAUUGAUAUAAUUUAAAAAGAGUGAAACAAAUUUCUUAAUACUAAGUAGUUUUAUUUUUUUGGUAAAUGUUGCUAUGUUCAAAUAACAUUUGGCAAAAAUCAUUGCUUAUAGCAUUCUGUGUAAGGAAAAUAAAAUGUUGUCUCUCAAAUUGUAAGGUAUAUUUUAUUGUUUACUUGAAAGUUUAGUGCUGUAUUUUAGAUAAAAUAUAUUCAACGUCUUAGAGUAGCAGUCAUCUCUGCAUUUUAGAGCCAAAACCUCAAAACAAAUCAGGCUUAUGUGUGUAAAAUAUGUGCAUAUUUUUAAUUGCUGCAGAAAACACAAAUACACAUAACAUUUUUACAUAAUCCCAGCCUCUUAACAAAUGUUACAGUAAGAUACCAAUUGGUGAGGUUCAAAAAAUUAAGAUGUGGAUGAAAAAUAAAAUUCCGCCUCUCAAAAAUUGCGUGGGAUGCCAUUUACAUUUUAAUUCCAAGAAAACUCAAAUAUCAAUAAGACAAUCUUUUUGGUUGUUUUACUCAUAAUGUAAGAUAUUCAGGUAGUUUUUAAAUUGUUUAAAUUUUAGGUUUGGGAGUACAUGUGAAGGUUUGUUACACAGGUAAACACGUGUCUUGGGGCUUUGUUGUACAUAUUAUUACAUCACCCAGGUAUUAAGCCCAGUAAAAUCCCAACAAAUUCACAUAUAAUCUUAUCCAUGUGACAGUAAGUGUCCAAAUAAACAAUUAAAAGAGAGUACUAAAUUUUCAUAACUUACCCUGUGUGAUAUUAAAUGAGAACAUAUUUAGUUUCAGCCAGGUAAUUGACUCGAUUCCUCGUGUCUGGUAUGUAACUGUUAAAAUUGAAAUACAGAUAAAGUAGAUUAUUUAAUUUUUGAAUUGUGUACAUUUCUGUGUGUACCAAAUGAGGAGAAAAGUCACAAACCCAAUUCCCAAAUGCUAGGUGUUGCAUAUGAGAUGAAGGUUUUAGUUAUGCAACAACAACAAUGAUUUCUCUGUAGAGUACAAUCUUUAAAAAUAACUUUCAGGGUGCUGAUUUUCAUAAUUACAAAUAAGUGCAAUUUAGCUAGUAAUUAAAACGAAAAUGUUAACAAAGGCUCUGCAUUGAUGCCUCUUUUGCAAGUACAUGCAAAUGUUUUGAGGCAGUCUGUCUCCAUGCUUAAUCUUACUUGAAAAUUUCCCUGAAGAUAUUCCUUGCCUUACAAAGCGAAGUGAAUUGUUUGAAAAAAUAUUAAAGAGUAAUUUUCUAUAUUAUUUUUUUAAAAAAUCUACAAUUAUUCGCAAUACCUUAGGGUAUAAGUAACAGCAUAAUAAACCUAUUUUGGCACUAGCACCCCUUUAUCCCUACCAAUUCAUGUACUCAGACCCACUUUAUAUGUCUAUUCCAGAAAAUUUCAAGAUGUAGUAAUCACUAACAGUAAUGUUAUCCUGUUCGGAUAGUAAAAAUUUUAACUUUUUUGAAUAAUUGGAACAAAUUACUUCUUUUAGCAAAGUAUACAUUGUAAUGACCAUACAUUAUCUUGUUAGCAGACCCAUAUAUUAGGCAUAUUUACUACUAUUCUCUGAUUUACUUUGAGAUCAAGCUUUGUUCUAUUGUCUAAUAGGUUCAAACAUUUUCUUUUGUAAAGAAAAUGUAUUACUAUUUUAUGAAGAACGUAACCUAUGAUUUUUUUAAUGUUUCCAGUGAAUUUUCUUCUGGCUUAAAUAAUAUUUCUUCAAAUAAAGCAAGUUAAAUUAAAUUUGCAAUAUAAUUUCUAGUUCUUUUCUCUAGAGCCAUUACAAAUGACUUUUACUACAGCACUCACUAUAGUAUAUCAUUUAUAGUAUAUCAUGAUACAUUAAAUUUAUAGAAAAUGUACUCAAAUUGAUCUUUUAAAAAAUUUUCACUAAUGUGUAUAUUCAUACUAGAAUAUAAAUUC